rnacentral:rRNA from 1 species
UACGCAGGGGGCUAGCGUUGCUCGGAAUCACUGGGCGUAAAGCGCACGUAGGCGGCUUGUUAAGCCAGGGGUGAAAUCCUGGAGCUCAACUCCAGAACUGCCUUUGAUACUGACGAGCUUGAGUCCGGGAGAGGUGAGUGGAACUGCGAGUGUAGAGGUGAAAUUCGUAGAUAUUCGCAAGAACACCAGUGGCGAAGGCGGCUCACUGGCCCGGUACUGACGCUGAGGUGCGAAAGCGUGGGGAGCAAACAGG